rnacentral:rRNA from 1 species
UACCCUAUUAUUUUAAAUAUAAAUUUUAAAUACUAGAUUAUUAUAAGUUAUGAUCUUUAAAUUAAAAGAUUUUGGCGGUAUUUUAGUCUAUUCAGAGGAAUCUGUCCUAUAAUUGAUGGUCCACGAAGUUAAUUACUUUUUUUAGAAAUUUACAUAUCGUUGUAGAUUGAGUAUUUUAAAAGAAAAUUAAUUCUCGAGAUUUUUAUUAAAAAUUAAAUCAGAUCAAGGUGUAGUUUAUAGAAAAGAAGAGAUGGAUUACAUUAAAUUUAUUUUAAGAUUAUAAUUUUAAAAAUUCUAUGAAUAUGGAUUUGAAAGUAAUUAUUUAAAUUUAAAGUAAUGAUUUUAGCUCUAAAAUAUGUACACAUGG